rnacentral:rRNA from 1 species
AAGCUCGUAGUUGAAUUUCGGGGUCAGUAGGUUGGUCGUGCCACUGGUAUGUACUGGUCUCACUGAUUCCUCCUUCCUGAUGAGCUGUAAUGCCAUUAAUUUGGUGUUGCAGGGAAUCUGGACUGUUACUUUGAAAAAAUUAGAGUGUUUAAAGCAGGCUCGCGCUUGAAUACAUUAGCAUGGAAUAAUGAAAUAGGACGUUGAUCCUAUUUUGUUGGUUUCUAGGAUUGACGUAAUGAUUAAUAGGGAUAGUUGGG